rnacentral:rRNA from 1 species
AUGAACGCUGGCGGCGUGCCUAAUACCUGCAAGUCGAGCGAACAGACGAGGAGCUUGCUCCUCUGACGUUAGCGGCGGACGGGUGAGUAACACGUGGAUAACCUACCUAUAAGACUGGGAUAACUUCGGGAAACCGGAGCUAAUACCGGAUAAUAUAUUGAACCGCAUGGUUCAAUAGUGAAAGACGGUUUUGCUGUCACUUAUAGAUGGAUCCGCGCCGCAUUAGCUAGUUGGUAAGGUAACGGCUUACCAAGGCAACGAUGCGUAGCCGACCUGAGAGGGUGAUCGGCCACACUGGAACUGAGACACGGUCCAGACUCCUACGGGAGGCAGCAGUAGGGAAUCUUCCGCAGUGGGCGAAAGCCUGACGGAGCAACGCCGCGUGAGUGAUGAAGGUCUUCGGAUCGUAAAACUCUGUUAUUAGGGAAGAACAAAUGUGUAAGUAACUAUGCACGUCUUGACGGUACCUAAUCAGAAAGCCACGGCUAACUACGUG